rnacentral:rRNA from 1 species
UGGGGAGAGGAACUUGUUCCUCGAGUCGUUGAUUUCACACUGCCGAGAAAAGCCUCUAGCUAGAAUAACGGUGCCCGUACCGCAAACCGACACAGGUAGUCAAGAUGAGAAUUCUAAGGUGAGCGAGCGAACUCUCGUUAAGGAACUCGGCAAAAUGACCCCGUAACUUCGGGAGAAGGGGUGCUCUUUGAGGUUCACGCUUCGAAGAGCCGCAGUGAAUAGGCCCAAGCGACUGUUUAUCAAAAACACAGGUCUCUGCUAAACCGUAAGGUGACGUAUAGGGGCUGACGCCUGCCCGGUGCUGGAAGGUUAAGAGGAGUGGUUAGCGCAAGCGAAGCUACGAAUCGAAGCCCCAGUAAACGGCGGCCGUAACUAUAACGGUCCUAAGGUAGCGAAAUUCCUUGUCGGGUAAGUUCCGACCCGCACGAAAGGCGUAACGAUUUGGGCACUGUCUCAACGAGAGACUCGGUGAAAUCAUAGUACCGGUGAAGAUGCCGGUUACCCGCGACAGGACGGAAAGACCCCGUGGAGCUUUACUGUAGCCUGAUAUUGAAAUUCGGUACAGUUUGUACAGGAUAGGUAGGAGCCUUAGAAGCGUGAGCGCUAGCUUACGUGGAGGCAUUGGUGGGAUACUACCCUAAUUGUAUUGGAUUUCUAACCCGCAGCACUUAUCGUGCUGGGAGACAGUGUCAGGCGGGCAGUUUGACUGGGGCGGUCGCCUCCUAAAGAGUAACGGAGGCGCUCAAAGGUUCCCUCAGAAUGGUUGGAAAUCAUUCAUAGAGUGUAAAGGCAUAAGGGAGCUUGACUGCGAGACCUACAAGUCGAGCAGGGUCGAAAGACGGACUUAGUGAUCCGGUGGUUCCGCAUGGAAGGGCCAUCGCUCAACGGAUAAAAGCUACCCCGGGGAUAACAGGCUUAUCUCCCCCAAGAGUUCACAUCGACGGGGAGGUUUGGCACCUCGAUGUCGGCUCAUCGCAUCCUGGGGCUGUAGUCGGUCCCAAGGGUUGGGCUGUUCGCCCAUUAAAGCGGUACGCGAGCUGGGUUCAGAACGUCGUGAGACAGUUCGGUCCCUAUCCGUCGUGGGCGUAGGAAAUUUGAGAGGAGCUGUCCUUAGUACGAGAGGACCGGGAUGGACAUACCUCUGGUGUACCAGUUGUCGUGCCAACGGCAUAGCUGGGUAGCUAUGUAUGGACGGGAUAAGUGCUGAAAGCAUCUAAGCAUGAAGCCCCCCUCGAGAUGAGAUUUCCCAACUUCGGUUAUAAGAUCCCUCAAAGAUGAUGAGGUGAAUAGGUUCGAGGUGGAAGCGUAGCGAUACGUGGAGCUGACGAAUACUA